rnacentral:rRNA from 1 species
UACGGGGGGAGCAAGCGUUGUUCGGAUUUACUGGGCGUAAAGGGCGCGUAGACGGCCACCGCAAGUCGACUGUGAAAUCUCCGGGCUUAACCCGGAAAGGUCAGCCGAUACUGCGGGGCUAGAGUGCAGAAGGGGCAACUGGAAUUCCUGGUGUAGCGGUGAAAUGCGCAGAUAUCAGGAAGAACACCCGUGGCGAAGGCGACUUACUGGACACAUAUUGACGCUGAGGUGCGAAAGCGUGGGGAGCAAACAGG